UACUGUAGAGAGGCGGAAACGACGCGUGAAUUUUCAAAAACUAUCCUUUGAAAAUCUACCACAAAGGAUUUUUCGGGUCAUCAGUGAGGAACAAGUCCACCAAAAAUUUUGAUGAACUAACCCAAAGCUUCCGUCUAUCUCUUUCUGAUCUGUUUUCUCCUAUUUAAAUUUCUCUUCUCUCUCCGGCCCCUUCUUCUCAAUACGACAACGAGCUCCUUAAUUUUCUUCACGUUCCCUCAUUCCCUCCCCCAUCACCUUUCUCUUUUUCUUCUUCACGCGACGGUGGAAUAACCCGGAUCCUACUCUGAUUCCGUUUCCCUCAAAGUUUCCUCGGAACUUCGCGGAAUCUUUCGUCUCGCUCCUUCAGAUAACCAUAGACUCUCCCUUCGCUGUUAUCCGAUGGCGACAUCAUUGAUUCCUUAUCGGAAUUGAAUUCUAUCCGUUUCGCAACCAAUAAGCCGGCUAAACAUUUGUUCAAGUUUAGUUCAGGAGGAUCUCUUCUUUUCCAUCUUUGUAUACCAAUUCUGAAAAAACGGAGCUCUCACUUUUCCUUCACUUUCUCUCAUUCCCGAAAGACUCGCGAUUCCAGGGAAUACUGAUUUCGGAAAUGGAAUCCGUCGUCGUUUUGGCAUUGUUUGCUUUUCUUGCAUUUGCGCCGUGGGGCGUACUCUCGGAAGAGAGGCUUCUGGUGAAUAUGACUAUGGUUCGAAGCGCCCGAGCUCUUGGUGCUGUUUGUUUGGAUGGGAGUUUACCGGCGUAUCAUUUUCACAGAGGCUUCGGCGCCGGAGCCAACAACUGGCUUUUACAAUUCGAGGAGUAACAGUUUGGCGUCGGAGGGAGGAGUGGGGAAGGAAUUAUUGGCGCCUUAGCGUUCCCUCUUGCGCGAAAAAGUAACGGCGGUGUCUUUAAUUUUUGGGGCGAAGAAUGAUGAUUGGUUGGUUUCGAAAUUCCAUACGACAAUACUUUUAUGUCGUCUAU